rnacentral:rRNA from 1 species
UACGGAGGGGGCUAGCGUUGUUCGGAAUUACUGGGCGUAAAGCGCACGUAGGCGGCUUUGUAAGUUAGAGGUGAAAGCCCAGGGCUUAACUCUGGAAUUGCCUUUAAGACUGCAUCGCUAGAAUCGUGGAGAGGUGAGUGGAAUUCCGAGUGUAGAGGUGAAAUUCGUAGAUAUUCGGAAGAACACCAGUGGCGAAGGCGACUACCUGGUCUGGCAUUGACGCUCAUGUGCGAAAGCGUGGGGAGCAAACAGG